AGCGCAACCCCUGUCGUUAGUUGCCAGCAUGUAAAGAUGGGGACUCUAACGGAGACUGACCGGUGCAAACCGCGAGGAAGUGGGGAUAAACGUCAAAUCAUCACGGCCCUUACGUCCUGGGCUACACACGUGCUACAAUGGUAUGGACAGAGAGCAGCCACUGGGUGACCAGGAGCGAAUCUACAAACCAUAUCACAGUUCGGAUCGGAGUCUGCAACUCGACUCCGUGAAGCCGGAAUCGCUAGUAAUCGCAGGUCAGCAUACUGCGGUGAAUACGUUCCCGGGCCUU
rnacentral:rRNA from 1 species